CUGGGCAGGGACCCAUUUUCUGUGUCAUGGCUCUCUGUGCAAAGCUUUAUUCCUUCUAAGGGCCAGCGUUUCAGAUGUUUGGGUCUAUUCCUCUAUCCAGGACUACCACUGAGGAACCACUGACCAGUGAGAUGAGGUCUUGCUCAGGACUGGUCUUGAACUCCUGGACUCAAGUGAUGCUCCCACUGCCGCCUCUCAAAGUGCUGGGAUUGCAGGUGUGAGUCAUCUGGCCUCAAGUGAUCUUCCUACCUCAGCUUCCUAAAGUGUUGGAUUACUGGUGUGAGCCAUCAUGCCUGGCCUCUUAUUUGCAUUUGAUUGACAAUCACAGUAUUCCUUUGCAGCAGGCAGGGUAAGUAUUACCCACUUGCCUCAGCUUAUAGGUGAUGAGUUUGAGGCUGGGAGAGGUGAAAUGACUUUGGAGAGUUGUCCAGGGAGGAGGUAACA
rnacentral:lncRNA from 13 species